rnacentral:lncRNA from 1 species
CUCUGGGGAACACAAGAGGUGGCCUGCCAAGAGGGCCUCCUUGAUGUGCAAGAAAAAGAUAUGCCUGCAAAGCAAGGUGAGAGUGAGGUUAUGCUUGGGGAUAACCUGACAUCAAUCUCAGCCUACUUAGCAAUUUCACAGUCACUUUUAAGGAAAGCAAUUUUAAAAGUCACACUGAAAAUGCUUAACAUUAAAGAACUUCAAAAAAAAAUCAUCAGUAUUAAGGCAAAAUCAAAAUAAGAACUGCGUUUCUCUGGAAUAAAAGUUGUGACCCAAACAAGAUAAACUUAUUUAACACAAGUUCGGUAACAUUAAGGUUACAAAACAUAAAAUAAUUACACAUAAGUUUCUGCAUUAUAGUGUUUUAAAAGAAAUUAUUUUAAUCAGAAAAAUUGUAUCUUGACAUGGAUUCUGAUAGAAUCUUAAGGAACUCUAUACAUAAAGACAAAAUUCUCACCUUUAUUCAAAUGAUACCCCAAUCUCUAGUCUCAGUGCCAGCUUCUGUCCUAAGAAUCACAUGAAAAAUGUCCAAUCUCCUAUAGGCUUCACCACCUGGAUGUUCUUCGGUACCUCAAUUUUGGCUCAUUCAAAACCAAACUCCAUAUAUUCUUUCCCAAGCCCUUUUUCUCCGAAUGGAGACCACGGACUGACUUUGGACUCUUUGUCCUAUUUCACUUGACUUUCUUCUCUCUGAAAACUAUUUAAAUCCAGUUCUAUCCUCCCAUUUGUACCUCCUCAAUACUACUUGCAGGAAGAAUUUACACUAUUCUCUGCGCUGCUCUCCUCCUCCAGACUCCAUGCAGGCAGCCUACCUUCCAUGCUGCUUGUUUCUAGUAUAAACUUGUCAUUUCUCUGCUCAAAAUCCUUCAAAGGAUCUGUACGGCUUGCCAAGGGAGCACGUUGUUAACGUGGAGCUGAGGAGUCUCCGCCAUCUGGCCCCAGCUUUCCAGCCACGUCUCCUGUCAUUCCCUGCAGCUGCUAUGCCCCAGGAUAGGGAACGAUUCCUCUCCCUGGGAAAUCUAGGAAGCAUGUUCAUGCUCUGGUGUCUCUGGUCUUGCUGCUCCCUCUGUCCUGAGGGCCAUUCUUUCUGUCGCCUUGCUUGGAUACCCUUUGGUCUGUAUCACAUGCAAAUCCUCUAUUCCUCUGGUACAGUAUUUGACAUAACAUGUAUAUUAUGUAUGACUUCUUAAGUGCCUCGAACAUCAGAGAGCUCCAAAAAUGUACAUAAAACUGCAUAUUAUGUGUGAUUAGUUUACCUUCCAACCUUAGUUUCAUCCUGUUUAAGCCCAUCCUAGUUGUAUACAAUACUAUAUUCUACAUUUACUAAAAGGUUAUGUCACACUUAAAAACUCCUGUAAAAUUCAGAUACUGGUCACACUGCCCAAAACUCUGAAGAGCACCUAAACUGCUGUAGACAGAUUGGCCUCAGUUAUAACAAGUGUCCCUGGCAAAUGUGAAGUUUUAACCUUCCUUCGAUGACUUGUCAUAACCUCUCAAACAAGGCUAAUUGCCACAUUAUUCGUCCCAUUAACAAAUGAAUUGUAACUUUGGCCAGGUGCGAUGUCCUCAGCACUGUUUCUGUUUAAUAAUAUAUCUGUGUCUGACAUUCCAGGUAGAGGAACAUGAGCAAGGUAAGAAUCGACUAAGGAGGAGGCAGUGAGGCUACAAAUCUAAGGAGGUGCUAUACUGAGAGUCUACAAUGUCUGGCUGACAAGAGCCAUUAAUCUUAUUUUCACUAAGAAGUAUUUAAAUUCAAUGUUUUGUGCAUUCUAUAAUGAUAAAGAAAUAUUUAAAAUGAUGAAACUCUGCCAAAUACUGCAGUUUUUUCUUUUUUUCAAAGCCCGUGUAAAGAAAUCAUAGUAAGAAUGUGUAAUAGCCUCAAAGAAGAUAAAGAUGGUUUUUAUUAACCCAAACAUCUGCUAAUCUUUAAAGUAUUUCUGACAUACUGCUAAACUGAGAAAGGAGCCCCCACUGGGGCAAAGGAAUCACCAUGAAAAUAAUUUGCUGUAAAAUAGCUAUCUGAGGACUGAGAUCCAGCAUUCUCAGCAAGCCGUGGUUUACUACACUGUUGCAGGCCUCAAAAGGCUUCUUAGAUGACCAUUUGAUAAACUUCAUCUUGGUGAAUGUACCCAUCUCUGUAUUCGACUGGGGUGGAGGUGUGCUGUUAGGAAACUAAAAUCUGCAUCUAUGCUUUCGUUAAAGAAGAAAUUACGCUCUGAAAGACUUGAAGAAUAUUGCCACAAACGAAGUCUUCUUAGUUUAAUUACUGCUUAUGUAAAAGUGGCCUUUUUUUUUUUUUUUGAGAUGGAGUCUUGCUCUGUCGCCCAGGCUGGAGUGCUAUGGCACGAUCUGGGCUCACUGCAAGCUCCGCCUCCUGGGUUCAAGCGAUUCUCCUGCCUCGGCCUCCCGAUAGCUACAUUAGACCAUGCCUGUCUAAUUUUUGUAUUUUUAUUAGAGACGGGGUUUCACCGUGUUAGCCAGGAUGGUCUCAAUCUCCUGACCUCAUGAUCUGCCUGCCUCGGCCUCCCAAAGUGCUGGGAUUACAGGCAAAAGUGGCUUUUAACUUAUUUUUCAGGUGUAAAGUUAGAGACUAGUUCCUGCUUUAUUAGAUAGUAAGAAGAGUUUUGAAUCAAUUCCGUGUCUUUUUGCAACCUAUCCAUGCCUACACUUCCGGAGAGACAGUGGCCAAAAUCAAAGGCAAAGAAGCAGUAACAGAAUGUAAACAGGUGGCAGGCAGCCUGAGAGCACCACUGAUCCUUCUCAGCAUAUGGGCCAGAAUUUAAGAAAAGAUCUAGCAAGGGCGAUGAUUGACCUUUUCGACAUACUCCACAUUCUAGCCUGGAGUGCAGAGGAUGCCUGGUAAGCAUGAAAAAUCCUUCUCCUUACUGUCAACAUCAGCUUUCUGAUAGUCCCUUCCUGCAUUUUGCAGUUUCAUGGCUAUAAAGCAACCUUUUCAUUUCAAGCCAAUAAAUAUUUGUCUUGCACCGCCUCUGUGCCCAGCCCUAAGCUGGGGUUUUAGGGUAAACAUGUCUGAGAGUUCCUUUUUAGAUGGACUUACAGCCUUUUACAAUAAAGGGACAUAUCCCAUCAAAAUAACUCCAGCCACAAUCUAGCUUUUGGGUGACAAGUUUAUGCUCUCCAGGAGAACAGUACAACAGAGUACUAGUAGCAAAGAUCAGCACUCUAAUAGGCUCUUUCCAAGACAGAGGAUAGCAGAGCUCAGAGACAUGUUUCCAACAAGAACUUCAGUGAUGGCUCAAUAUUUAUGGGUGGUUUUGAAUCAAGUAUUUUCUCUUAGUAUUUUCCCCUCAAACCAUCUGGAUUGUAACUAUCUGGCUCCUGGGUUUUGCCCCCUCCUUUUUUUUUUUGUAAAGUAGGCAAAAUGUUACCAAUAAUAUCAAAACAAGCAGAUGUGGUCAAAUAAGUUAUGCCUGCAGUGAAUGCUUUUGCACUAAAGAUCAAAAGUAGAUGACAUAUUCAAUUCAAUAGAGGCUACAUCCUAGAAUCACAAACAGAAAGAAAGCCUUUGGAAAAAAACUGUUUUCUCUGUCUUAAGGAAAUGUCCAUGAAUACAUCCUAUGAGCAUAAAUAAGCUCAAACUGCACCUUUUAAACAUUCUUCGGGUUAUACCUUCUAAUUCAUGACUCUUCUUUAAGUUUUACCCAGUUACUAAGAAAACUGAUAUUUUCAAUAUAUGGAUCACAUUUUGGGGCCCAAGGCGUAACAUUCUGGCUAAACUCAUGUCCUGGCAUCGUGGGCACAGAUGAAUUAACAUUUACUGAGCAUUAUAGAUUUUUUUUUUAAUGGAGUGAAUAUAAGGAUAUGCCAAAUUUUAAUUUUAAAAAUGAAUCACAUAUUCUUACUAUAUUUUUCUUUCAAAGUACUUCAAAUUUUCUCUCUUUUAAAAAUUAAUUCCUUCUUACAAUGUUAAGGAAUGAAGUUAGAUCAUUUAUCUUUUAAGAGUUGUAAUCAGAGAACUUUCCUCUAAACACAGGCUUGUCUCAUAAAGCAAUUAUCUAGGAAUCAAAGCAGAACUUCCUGCAAACCAAUUGGAAGUUGUUCAUCUGCUCAUCAUAGAGGGUUCCUCUCAGUUACUGCCCUCCAGUUACCUCACCAGUUACACCAUUUUUAAGAGCUUUUAAUGACAAAUGUAAAAUAACUAUAUCCAGAUUCAUUAUUGAACUCAAAAUUUAAGAACUAACCUACAUCUUUAAAACAGCUAAGCAGCUAUUUUUUUCAAAUUCUCAAUUACCAAUAAUUGAAUUGUAUUUCUCCUGGAGAGCCAUGACUGACUCUAGCCAUAGUGAGUAAUGGCUGGUUCUGCUCUCACCUUGUCAGAACCCACGGUGAUCAUCAGCCAGCCUGCCUCAGUCCAAUGAGUCACUUAACCACAGUUUAUUUUAAAACAAACUUUGACUGCCAAGUUAUAUUUAAAAGCUAUCAAAUCACAACAGAAUUGCUAUGAGAGUUUUCUGUUUUGUAUCUUUAAUUUCAGUAAAACACAAAUCAGUUCAAGAUGGAUCACGGGUCUAAAUGUAAAAGCUAAAACCGUAACGCUUUAGAAACAAAACUUAAGAGUAUCUUCAUGACUUCCAGGUAGCAAAGGUUUCUCAGGACAUAGCAAAAACCACAAAAGAAGAAAGUGGAUAAAUUAGGCUUCACCAAAAUUAAAAACUUCUACUCAUAAAAGGCAUCAGAAAAACAGGUAAGCCACAGGAGGAAAUACAUUUACAAAACAUGUAUCUGACAAAGGACUGGUAUCUAGGGUACAUGAAGAAUUUGUACAACUCAAAAAUAAAAGCAAACAACAAAAAUGAGUAAAUGACUUGGACACUUUGAAAAAGAUACAUGAAAGGCCAAUAAACACAUGAACAAGUGUUUAAUAUGAAUUGUCAGAGAAAUGCAAAUUAAAACCACAACACUCUACCACUACACACCCACCAGAAAGCUGGCAGGGAUGUGGAGGAACUAGACUCUUACAUUCUUGCUGGGAGUACAGAAUAGCACAGUUGCCAAAUAGCUUUGGGAAAAGGUCCGGCAGUUAGUUAUAAAAUGAAAUGAUUACUUACUCCAUGACCCAGCUAUUCCACUCUUAGGUAUUUAUUUAUUCAAGAGAAAUGAAAAUAUGUGUCUACAAAAAAAAGGUACAUACUAGAAUGUUUAUGGCAGCUUUAUUCAUAAUAGCUGGAAAACAGGUGUUCAUUAUUAGGAGUACGGAUAAACAAACACUAGAUUCAUUCAAUGGAAUACUAUCCAGCAAUAUAAAAGAACCAACCACUGAUAUAUAGGACAAUAUGGAUGGAUCUCAAAAAAUCUGUGAUGAACAAAAGAAGCCAGAUAUCAAAGAGUGCAUACCACAAGAUUCCAUAUAGAUAAGGCCGCACAGGCAUAGCUCAUCUCUGGUAGAAGAACACAUGACAGAGGUGUGGUGUGCGGUGGGUGGGGGUGGGAAAGAAGGGGAGGGGUUGACUGCAGAAGGGCUUCAGGGAACUUUCUGGAGUGAUGAUAAUGUUCUAAAUUUUGAUAGCAGUUUUAUUUAAACAAGCACAGCUGUUUGUCAAAAAUCAUUAAAUGGUAUAAUUAGGAUUUAUGUAAAUUUUACAUCAAAAGAAAAAACUGCAAACAUUGAGUUCUAGUUAAUGUUAUGCAUGCUGAAGUAUUUACGGGGAAACAUACUUAUAUACAACUUAUUUUGAAAUGCAUCUAAAAAUAAGACAGAUUGAUGGGUGGAUAGAGGACUGAUAAAUGGAUGAAUAUGUAAUAAAGCAUGUAGAGUAAACUAUUAAUAUUAGAAUUUAGUAUAUAUAGUAUAUACUUAGUAUACAUACUAUAGAGUAGAAUAUAUAGUGUACAUGUACACUAUAUAGAAUAUAUACUGUAUAUAUACACUAUAUAGAAUAUAUAGCAUACAUAUAUAUAUAUAUAUAUAUAUAGAUAUAUGUAUACACACACAUAUAAUGUGUGUAUAUAUACAUAGGUGUUCCCUGUAAAAAAUCUCCAAUUUUCCUGUCUGUUUGAAAAUUUUCAUAAGUUAAGGAAGUAAUACUAGUAAAAAUCCCUUAGGGUCAAGGAUUCAAGUAACUAGCCAUAUCUAACGUGAACCACCACAUCUAUCUACUUCAUGGAGGGCUUGCCACUGAGAAACUUGUCACAGCCAAAUAAUUACCAAGUUAGGUCUCUAUGUAGGCUUAAGGAGAUCCUUUUCAAAGCCCAAAGUACAAAAUGAGAAUCACUGAUGAAAGUGUUCCUGCUCUAAAGCAGUUAAAAGAUGUGGAGGGCAGCAGCUGGGAAAAUUUCCAACUUCAAAAGUGAUCACAACCCACACCAGAAGAACACUUCUAAUUGAAAGCAGAAAAUCUGCACUUCUAAAAAAAUGUGCUUAUUCACUCACAGUAGAUCCCCAUCCUAGGCAAACACCAAUCUAGGCAGCCCUGAAAUCUGAAAAUGUUAACUACAAUCUCUUUCCCAACAAUAUAGAUCAGCCAAGGAGUGCUUUUUGGUACAUUCAUUCCAUGAGGCCAGGAAGGUUCAGGAAUUUUCAGACCUCAUCAUCUUUUUAACUGCCUUCACAUUCUGAGUUACUUGCUAGGUCCUGCUGCUGGUACAGAAGAGGGCUGGGAACAGGCCACAGUGGGACACCAUUCAGAGGAAACACACCUAGUGUCCCUACAGCUGCUCAACACUGGUCACCUUGAGUCUGACCCUAGGUGCCUUCUAAAUGCUCAGAUUUAAUUUUACAUGUCGUUUUAAAAACCUUCCUUGAAUAUUUCAUACAAAUAUAUAAGUACCAGAAAUUCAAAAAGGGCCUAAAGAUACCCAGACAGGCGUUCCUUGGCUGAAAUAAACACAUAUAAUAACACAAACAUCCUAUAGCCUUAACAAAAGAAAAAAUUAUAUCAGAAAUUUAAAAUUUGAUUAAAUACUUUCUUUGGAAAUAACCACAUGCCUGCUUUUACUGUUUUUACUUUCCAGGGCCUAUUUUGUGUUUGGGCAUGCAAUCUUUCCCAGAUUUCCACAUGUCUAAAAGUGAUUUUUGUUGGAAGACAGGGAAAUACUUAGUUAAUAUGUACUUAGGACUAUAAAUGGGUUGCAGUUAAAGUGAUGCUAUAACUUGAAAACUAUCUGACUUUCAUAGACGGCCCAGAUAAGUGGUAGUUUCUUUUAGGAAAGAACUAAUAGCCACAAUAAACACAUGGUCUAGGAUGGUGUAGAGGGGGUGAAAGAAAGGAAGCAAAAGAAUGUGAGGAAGCUCUAAGUUAAGUUCAAACAGAAAAUAAUCACUACAAAACAUUUUUGAAAUGGUGAGAUUUCUUUUAGAUACUCUCAACUUUUCAGUUUAUAAAAGCAAAGUGAAAAACAUCUCAAAAUCUAUUAGGAAAGCUUAUAUUAGUAGUUAUCAGUUAACCCCAUUUUUGUUUACUUCCAAGUUCUUAAUUCUAUGAUUCAACAAAUAUGCAACAGACACUUAUUAGACUCUGGGGAUACAAUGUUGAUAAGCUCCCUGUUUAAUGGAGUUUAGGUUAUUAGAGUGACUGAUAAUAAACAAAUUACCACGUAAGUAUAUGUAGUAUUAUAAGCUCAUUAAAUGCUAUAAAGGAAAGAUACAUGAUGUCUUGGGGGAGUUUAGUCUCCCAAGCAAGGCUAGGGAAACUUUUCUGAGGGCUGAGGAUGGGGCUGAGGUCAGAAAGGUAGGACAGAUUUAACAAGGGACGAGUCAGAGUCAAACUCAUCACUGCCAGCAUCACUGAAAUCUGGAUGAAAUUUAACAUCCAGGAUUAGAGCAUUUCUGUGAACAUUUAGUCUGGGACUCACGGAGCUCUUGGAAUGGGGUUGUUUUCUGGAAAAGAGAAUCCAUGUGUUGGUGAGCCUUACCUAAGCAAAACGUCUCCUAGCAAAGACUUCAGAGCUCUGCUAAAACGUGGCUAAGUCGGGAGCAAAAUAUAGAUUUUAUUGGCAGUGGAUGGUAUAAUUACCAUUGUGAAGAUGAAGCAUAUACUUCUCUAAUCUCUGGUUUUGGAAAUGUUGACAAAAUCCAGUCAGAAUUGCAGUAAACUCAAAGCCUUUGAAAGGCAAGAAUUUCCAAGAUGAUUAUUAUUUCAGAUCUACUUCCAGAAUACAUUAAUUUGUUUCACUAUUCAUUUUAUUCCAUGGCAUCACAAACAUCUGCUGAAAAUAACCUGCUGUCUCCAUCUCUGAAAUAUGCCAGCUGAAAAGUAAAAGACUCUCCUUUUACAUUUGAGGCUCAUAUUCAAGAGCAAAGCAUAAUCUAGAUAGAAGAAUCAAAUCUAAAAUUAGGCCAAAUCAGAACUCUACCUACCAAUCUAAGCAAACACUUGAUGUGCUUUUUCUGUUUUCAGAGACACAUAUUUAGGAAAACAUUAAGGAAAAUAAUAUAAAGAGGACACAAAAGCAAUGAAAAAAGUUAUUGCUAAGAGAAAUUUAGAAACCAUCUCUUCAGAGGCCUUCAAGUAGGAUGUAGAGCUGGGCCCAUAGCAGUCUGGAUGGCUGGUAGUUGGUGGCAGAGCUGAAACUACAAUACAGGGCUUCUGCCUGGUUCCCUGGUGCUGUCCUAUGACAAACAGGCCUUCCUGCCCAUCAUUCUCACAAGGGCCUCCCUAAUCUGAUAUGAACUAAUAAGUUAACUGCCCUUCCCAACUUGGCUACCUUAAUUGUCCCCAGAGGACAACUCUGCCAGGAUAUUUCAGCAUCAUUUAAUAAACUGUCUAGAUACUUUCAGUAUACUACACUACAUGCACCCUCAUGAUUUAGAAAAGAAUAAAAAAAUCACCUUUCAUAACUGGAUUGUCAAAGCUAAAUUUACUCACUACAUAAACAGACCUAUUUUAUAUUCAUGGCAUUUUAUAUAAGUAUUUUACAACAAAUAAUUAAACAUCAAAGAAGUUUACGAACCAGCUUCAUUUGCUAGCAUUUGUAAACAUACAUAUUUUUGUUCUAUAGUUUCAUGCAUGUAAAAACAAUGCUAAUUGUAAACUGGACCCAGUACAGCUUCUGAUGUCCUAAUUAAGAGGUACAAAUGCUAAUUACAAAUCACUUUAUCUAGUUAUUAAAACUUAAGUGUCAGUUAUGUAUUUCAGCCAACCCCAUGAAACCAAGUAAAAUUCACCAACAUAUUAAAAGCAAGUUAAAAGUUAAGGUCACACUUAACUUUUCCAUACAAUUUCAAAAAGAAUUAAAAUCAAUUAAAAUUACCUAGUUGAACUAGGUAUGUACAUUCUUUGAGUACUAUUAUGAAUCUCAAGAGUCCAAGUCAAUUGAAUCAAUAAAGGAGAGACCAAGACAGGAAAUUUGAUUCAAGUUCUAAUUCAUAAAAUGUCUCUAUUUCUUACAUGAAUAAAAUUGAUUUGAUAAUAGUUACUAACCCAAUUACAGGAAAGCACAGGUAGAGACCAUCUACUAGUCAAUUAUAAAGUCUGAAUACAUUCAUAAAACAAAUGUAUUAUGCUAUUAUCACUGCAGCCAUUGUUUAAAUGCAGUUAUUUGGUACUCCAAGCUUCUGAAGAUUUAAAAAAUAAUUUUGUGCCAUCAAAACUGGGUUGCAUCUAGAGAUCUUGAAAUAAUUACAAAAUCAUAAUAGGACUACACAAUGAAAAUUCCAAUAUGUUGUGUUAUAUCUUGUAUUCGACUGCAAGUUAUGACAGUGAAGCGCAAAGCUUUCACAAAUCGGCUUUAAAUAAUAAUUUUAAAAAGUCUAUUCUGAUUAAUACAGACAGCUAAAACAUCCUUAAGCAUGCAAUCACUUGAAUAUUUUGCAAGAUAUUUUCAGGAGUACCAAGAACUCAAUAUACCAUCUUCAUUCAGAAACAAAAUUAAACGUCUGCCUCAACCUUUAAAGCUCGAUUACAAGGCAAAGUGGAAAUUUCAAAUUCAAAUGAUAAGUAUUUCAAAAUGAGUCUUUAUCAGUCCUUUGGUAAAACAAACAAGCAAAUGUCAUGUAAAAAACUCUUAAAGGAUAAUGCUCAUUCAUCAUUACUUAAAAUUUUUAGAAUCACAUUUUUCAUAUGCAUGGCAAAUUUCUCAGCCAAAGAAUUAUGAAAAACAUUAGAACUUAGAUCCAAAGCUUGCUAUGUCUUCAAAGUAGCUGUUUUCCUUUUUAAUUUUUUGAUAUGCCACUGUAAGAUUGAAGUCUCCUGCCUUUCAAUAAAUAUUAAAUAUCAAUUUCCUAGUUUGGCUCAUUCUUGAGAAUCAAGUAUUAGAGUCAGUCCAGGGGAGAACAUAUUUUGUUUGAAAAAUGAGACCACAUGCUUCAGUUGUCUACCACUGUUGGUGGUGUUUUACAACGUAGAGAGAUAAAUUCAAUCUAUACUCACCAAUCGUGUGUAACAUAUCUGUGGGUUGGAAUUCAGUUACAGUAGCCUUAGAAGAGUUCAUGAAAUUACAUUUUCAAGAAACUUAAAAACUUUAAAAAUUCUGCAUGAAGUCAAACAGAGCUCUUGGCUGCACACUGUAAUCUGACACUAGGCUGAAGAAACUGACCAAGUUUAAGUAACCCAAGAGGAACUGUUUCCUGCUUUCUGUUAGAACAGUCUGCAAUGACCUAUAGUAACACUGCUGAGGCAGAGGUUACUAUCGGGCAUUAGAUGCUGCUAUCAGGAAGUCAGUCACUCGGGUAGGGUGGUUUCUUUUUUUUUUUUUUUUUUUCCUGGGGUAGCACUUAUCUCAAGUGUUUGUAAGAAUUCAACCCUGCUCACCCAUCAAGUUUAUAAAGACAAGAAAAACUAAAAGAAGGAUUGGAAAAUGCACUCAGACCAAGUAGGUAGCUCCCCCUCCACCUCAACAAAAGGACCUGCAUGGAAAACCUAAGUUAAGAUGGAACUCCGCAUCAAAACAAACUUGCCUGAGCCAGAUGAUGUGGGUUUCAGCCGUGGAAACUUAGCAAACUUACUUCAGGCCAGCUCGAUGGCUCACACCUGUAAUCCCAGCACUUUUGGAGGCCGAGGCAGGAGGAUCGCCUGAGCCCAGCAGUUUGAGACCAGCCCGGUUUCGCAACACAGCGAAACCCCAUCUCUACACAAAAUACAAAAAAUUAGCCAGGCGUGGUGGCGCCUGCCUGUAGUCUCAGCUACAUGGGAGGCUGAGGUGGGAGGAUCACUUGAGCCUGGGAGUUCGAGGCUGCAGUGUGCUGUGAUCCCCCUACUGCACUCCAGCCUAGGCGACAGAGCAAAAGACCCUGUCUCUAAACAACAACAACAACAAAAAGAAAACAACGAAAGAAAAAAAAAGAGAAAACUUACUUCAUCUGUCUGAAGCUUGGUGUUGUCAACAGUAAAAUGGAGAUGGCAAUAUCUGCUCUGUCUCCACCCAGCAUUGUUGGGAAGCGCAGCAAAGAUAAUAACGUUCACAAAAGCAUUUGAAUGUCCCCGUGUAUGUAAGGGGAGCUAUAAGUUCAGUGCCUUCACUGCUUAAUGAUGACUUUUCCUGUCCCUACCCCCCUUCACGAGUCCCAAGGAUCUGUUAGUGGCCUUUAUUUCCGAACAACCAGGUACGAUAUCAGAGCCCAAGGCUAAAAAAAAAGGAGGGAUCCUCCCACACACAGUUCUUUGCUAAAGCUGACCGAGUAAAACUGUAAACUGUCCAAGUCCUAACCCCCACUGUUGCAGAGGAACAGGUGCACUCUCACAUCUUUCUGUCUUAUAAAUACACCUCAUGCUAUUGUGGGCUGAAACAGUCCCUUCUUGUAUUAACUGCAGUGCCUAUUCCCUGAAUUCCAGUUUACUAAUAAUCUGGGGAAUUUAUCUGGAAGAUAGCGUUUGGUUCAUUCCUUGUCUACUUUAUGCUUAAUUGCUAGAAGUUUCAGAAGAGGAAGAAGAGGCGAGGGGCAAUAGGGAGACCAGUUAUAUUGGUUAGUAUUUUUGUUUAUGAACAAUAGAAACUAAAGCUGGCUAACUGGAAACUCAUAGAAUCAAUGGGACCAGGUGUGGAAAUGAGUAGAACGGGAAAAUAUUGGUUGGCCAAGAAAAAAAAAAUAAACAAAAAUAAAACAAGCAAACACCCAAACCAAAUACCCACUUUGUGGACUACUUUAAAAAUAACUUAUAUUUUUGGUUUUAGCAGGGAUUUUUCUUUUGCAAGUAUGAUUUCAUUGUUUUUUUAAAAAAUCUAAGCUUGUAAAAUAGUUUGUAGAAGCAUAGGUAAAAU